rnacentral:rRNA from 1 species
AGCGGAGCAUGUGGUUUAAUUCGAAGCAACGCGAAGAACCUUACCUAAGCUUGACAUCCCAAUGACAUCUCCUUAAUCGGAGAGUUCCCUUUGGGGACAUUGGUGACAGGUGGUGCAUGGUUGUCGUCAGCUCGUGUCGUGAGAUGUUGGGUUAAGUCCCGCAACGAGCGUAACCCUUGUCUUUAGUUGCCAUCAUUAAGUUGGGCACUCUAGAGAGACUGCCAGGGAUAACCUGGAGGAAGGUGGGGAUGACGUCAAAUCAUCAUGCCCCUUAUGCUUAGGGCUACACACGUGCUACAAUGGGUAGUACAGAGGGUUGCCAAG